UCUUGUACCCUUUGACCAUCAUUUUCCCUAUUCCCCUCAGCCCUCAGCCUCUGGUAACCACCAUUCUACUUUGUUUCUAUGGAUUCAAUUGUUUUAGAUUCUACAUGCAAGUGGUAACGUGGUAUUAGUCUGUGCCUGGCUUAUUUCACUUAGCAUAAUGUUCUCCAGCUCCAUCCAUGUUGUUGCAAAUAACAGAAUUUCUUUCUUUUUCAAGGCUGAAUAGUAUUCCAUCAUUUAUAAAUACAUUUUCUUUAUUUUUUCAUCCAUUGAUGGGGUAGACUCCAACUUGUAUGCGGAAUGUUAGCUGCAUGGGAGUCUGGGAAAUAGUUUUUAUCUUUGCAGCCUCUGCAGUAUGAGGAAGUGUUUGGAAUGGAUGUUGAAAGUCAGUUCACCAUGUCUACACAGUCUAUCUUUUUGGACUUUUAGGGACCUAAAUCCGCUCCUUAAAAUAAGAGACCCCAAAUCCCAUCAGUCACAUAGCUAGCUGAUCCACCCUGGGUGAUUAUCAUUCUAGUUCAGUUACAAUUCUACCAUAACAGCAUAUAAUCUAAACACUAAAUUAACAAGUUACCAACAGUAAUACAUUUCAUUAUACUAGGGAAAAUAUGGGAGGGGAAAAUGAGUUAAUAUCUAUAAAUUAACACAAUAGAGCAAGGAAGAAAAUAUGAAAUGCUAAUAUAGUGCCCGUUUCUCAGCUUUUCAUGAGUUAGUUGUUUCUAUUUAUAUAUAUUUCUUUCUCCACCAUCCAGUCCAUGAUCCUUCUUCCUCAGCCAGUAUAUGAACUGGAUUAAGUUCUUUAUCUGGUGGGGUGACCCAAAUCACGGAGGUAGACAUUCUCUUAAUUUCCACAGGGAUUAUCUCCUAUCCUUAGAACACAUGUUUUACCAGGGCAUUUGGAUACCUGCUACUUCUUGCUUGCAAGAUUCCAGACAUGUAGAACAAUGUUCUGGGAGAUGUGAGAUGAUUAAAGUGCCUGCAGAUUAGACUGCAACAGAGCUGCAAGGGUGAUAUAACCCAGAUGCAGGACAGUGUAAUGUACUGUUGACCCUGACAGGUGAAAGUAAUCUGUUUUUGAUGUUUUCUGCUAUUUGGGCUAGAGAAAAAAGCAUAUUCCAGGUCAGUACUCAUAUUCAGUUGCACGACUGUAGGGGCCGGGGCAGGUGUUGAUUUGCUUCAUAAAGAGAUUAUAUCUAAAAUAACAGCUAAAAAUCAAGUCCUGCAUAGGCCAAACAAGUAAAUUAAAUGUGGAUAUGAUAGGAGCCAUCAUUCCUGAAAUUUCUGUCUUUGAUGCGGACACUAAUAUCCAUCAUUCCCUUAGGGAUGCACUAUCGCUUUUGGUUUAUGUUUUUGGUGGGAAAGGGCAAUUUCAAGGGUUCCCUUUGCUCUUCUUACCACAACAGCUUUCACUCCAUGAGUCACUCAAUGUGCAGAUUCUACCAGUCGCCGAGUGCGUCUACUACAACUGUGCCUAAAGGAACUGGUAAUGAGUACGUGAGAUCGAUGCAGGCCAGAACUCCUUUUUAUCACCUGACCCCCGUAUAUUAGUUUGCUAGGGCUCCCAUAACAAAGUACCAUAAACUGGGUGACUUAAGUAACAGAAAUUUAUUGUCUCACAGUUCAGGAAGCUAGAAGUCCUAGAUUUUGGCAGAAUUGGUUCCUUCCGCGGGCUGUGGGGGAGGAUCUGUUCCUUGCCGCUCCCAGCUUCUGAUGGUUUGCUGGCAAUCCUUGGUGUCCCUUGGCCUCUGCUGCAUCACCCCAGUCUCUGCCUUCAUCUUCACAUGGUACUUAGCCUAUGUGCAUGUCUUUGUGUUCAGAUUUCCCCUUUUUAUAUGUACAACAAUCGAAUUAGGGGGCCACCCUAUGCCAAUAAGACCUCAUCUUAAUUAUAUCUGCAACAACCUCAUUUUCCAAAUAAGGGCACAUUUUGAGGUACUAGGGGCUAGGACUUCAACAUAUGAUUUUUGGUGGAAGGGACACAAUUCGACCCAUAACACCAUGGAAGCCUCUAUUCUAACUAGUGGACCACAAAGGCUUUUUAGGUCUCAGCAUUUGUGCUGGCUUAGGGCCAGUUUCCAAGUAAUCCCUAAAGGCCUGGGCAUUUCCAUUUCCCUAAGCACACAUGCAUAGUUACAUGGCUUAAGAUCCCUUUGGGGAAAACGAGAAGAUUUAUGAUAUAGUUAUGGUGGUAUUGCUGGGUGCUUCCUCCAGAGUACCCUGCACCCCCUUUUUCAAGGGCUUCAGCUCUGAGAAUUGUCUGUAAAUCUCCAUUUUGGUGACUCAAAACAGGCCUCUAUUUGCCAGACCUGAAGAUUUGUUUUGCGUUCUAUAAGCCAAAUAGAACCUUGGUAGGUAACCCAUGUAUUUCAUCACUACAGCUCUGUUGCCUUGGUACUACCCCUUGGCCACUGGCACUGCAGGAUCCCAUCAUCUCUACUGAUAUCAGGGAUUCCUUUACAAUGGUAACAUCUCUUAGCUUCAUUUCCAGCCUAGGGAAGGUACACACUACAAACUUUUCAAGAUAAGGUGUUUCCCUUGUUUAAAGUACUUUUCAAUUCCUUGCUGAAAGAAAUAACCUCUUGGCAAUUUUGAAGGGCAAAAUUAGGAGGUGCAGGGAAAUGUGUGAAGUCUGGCUGCAGUGCCCAAGAGAUAAGAAUCUUCUAAGCUGGCUGUUGUCCAGACUUGCCAUCCUCAUUGUAGUAAAACACUGGCCAGGAAGACAAAAGUGCAUCUGUGAAAGGAAACAGAAAGUCAUCUGGUCUUCAGGGAAAGGAGGAUUUCAAUUUUUCCUCUGGGCCCAGGACUAAG
rnacentral:lncRNA from 1 species